rnacentral:rRNA from 1 species
UAUUAUUGUAUGGUAGGUUGAAGUAGUGAGAGGUGAGCUUGAAACUUAAGAAUUUUGGCGGUCUUUUUUAUCUUUCUAGAGGAAUUUGCUCUUUAAUCGAUAGUCCGCGUUUAAUUUUACUUGGUUGGGGUUUGUAUACCGCUGUUUAUAAUGUUUUUGUAUAGAAUGUUGGUGAAGGGGUCUCAGUAAAUCAAGUCAAGGUGCAGCUUUUAAUUGAGGUUGAAGUGAAUUACUAGUUGGAUUUUUUUAUUGAAAUAUUAAAAUGAGAUAGGAUUUAGAAGUAAUUGAGAAUUAGAAUGUUGAAAUGAAGGUAGUUUGAGAAAGAUGU